AGAACUGUUGCAAAAUACACCUUAAGUUUUUACAUGAACCAGGAGGACGAUGAAGCAGAAACAGCAUUCCUCUCGAAAAUCACGUGCACAGUGGCCAGUCAUUUUCAGAGGACUAUUCUGAGAAGGUUUCAAUGAUCCCCGUUAGAGUUCGAGGGUAUUCCCAUCAUUCACCCUUUCCAAUAUGCCUCCAACCAGCGUUUCCAGUUUCCUCUCUCAAGACUCACAACCAUCCUCACUGCUGCUGCCAGAGCUGCUCGCUCACCCGCACUCUACACAACACAAU